rnacentral:lncRNA from 1 species
AAAAAACGAAAACGGAUAACAAACAAAAAGGGCAACAGAAAAAGAAAAAUAGAAAAAAUAGCAGAGAAAAAUAUAUGUAUUUUGAUUCUUUUUUUUUGUAUUUAUUUUUUCUUUUCUAUUCGAUUCGGCUAUAUAAAGCCAGUUCCAACGUUGUAAAAGGGGGACGAUAUUCUGGCUAUAUAAAACCAUUUUCAUUAUUUGUAAAAGGGGGUCCGGUUUUUUUUAAAAAAAAUCAAUAAAAAGGAAAAAAAACGAUGAACAAAAGAAGGUGAUUCUUCAUUUUUUCUUUUCUCUGUUACUUUGAGAUUUGUUUUCUUUACUAGCAAAAUAGAAGAGAAAUACGAGAGGGG